GUCUUGAAACACGGACCAAGGAGUCUAACAUGUGCGCGAGUCAUUGGGACUCUAAAACCUAAAGGCGCAAUGAAAGUGAAGGUCGUACUAAGGUCGACCGAGGGAGGAUGGGCCGCGUUUACGCGCGGCUCCGCACUCCCGGGGCGUCUCGUUCUCAUUGCGAGAAGAGGCGCACCCAGAGCGUACACGUUGGGACCCGAAAGAUGGUGAACUAUGCCUGGUCAGGACGAAGUCAGGGGAAACCCUGAUGGAGGUCCGUAGCGAUUCUGACGUGCAAAUCGAUCGUCGGAACUGGGUAUAGGGGCGAAAGACUAAUCGAACCAUCUAGUAGCUGGUUCCCUCCGAAGUUUCCCUCAGGAUAGCUGGCACUCGUUUGUUCUCUUAUUGAACGUAAACGAGUUUCAUCUGGUAAAGCGAAUGAUUAGAGGCCUUGGGGCCGAAACGACCUCAACCUAUUCUCAAACUUUAAAUGGGUGAGAUCUCUGGCUUUCUUGAACUAUGAAGCCACGAGAGAUUUUGGAUCAGAGUGCCAAGUGGGCCAAUUUU
rnacentral:rRNA from 1 species